AACGAACGCUGGCGGCAGGCUUAACACAUGCAAGUCGAACGCCCCGCAAGGGGAGUGGCAGACGGGUGAGUAACGCGUGGGAACAUACCCAUCACUACGGAAUAACUCAGGGAAACUUGUGCUAAUACCGUAUACGACCGAGAGGUGAAAGAUUUAUCGGUGAUGGAUUGGCCCGCGUUGGAUUAGCUAGUUGGUGGGGUAAAGGCCUACCAAGGCGACGAUCCAUAGCUGGUCUGAGAGGAUGAUCAGCCACAUUGGGACUGAGACACGGCCCAAACUCCUACGGGAGGCAGCAGUGGGGAAUAUUGGACAAUGGGCGCAAGCCUGAUCCAGCCAUGCCGCGUGAGUGAUGAAGGCCUUAGGGUUGUAAAAUUCUUUUACCAGGGACGAUAAUGACGGUACCUGGAGAAAAAGCCCCGGCUAACUUCGUGCCAGCCGCCGCAGUAAAAC
rnacentral:rRNA from 1 species